GGUGAUCAGUGGCGAACGGGUGAGUAACACGUGAGCAACCUACCCUUCACUCUGGGAUAAGCCUUGGAAACGAGGUCUAAUACCGGAUACGAGACGCACGGGCAUCUGUAGCGUCUGGAAAGAUUUAUUGGUGGAGGAUGGGCUCGCGGCCUAUCAGCUUGUUGGUGGGGUAAUGGCCUACCAAGGCGACGACGGGUAGCCGGCCUGAGAGGGCGACCGGCCACACUGGGACUGAGACACGGCCCAGACUCCUACGGGAGGCAGCAGUGGGGAAUAUUGCACAAUGGGCGAAAGCCUGAUGCAGCGACGCCGCGUGCGGGAUGACGGCCUUCGGGUUGUAAACCGCUUUCAGCAGGGAAGAAGCGAAAGUGACGGUACCUGCAGAAGAAGCGCCGGCUAACUACGUGCCAGCAGCCGCGGUAAUACGUAGGGCGCAAGCGUUGUCCGGAAUUAUUGGGCGUAAAGAGCUCGUAGGCGGUUUGUCGCGUCUGCUGUGAAAACCUCAGGCUCAACCUGGGGCUUGCAGUGGGUACGGGCAGACUAGAGUGCGGUAGGGGUGACUGGAAUUCCUGGUGUAGCGGUGGAAUGCGCAGAUAUCAGGAGGAACACCGAUGGCGAAGGCAGGUCACUGGGCCGCAACUGACGCUGAGGAGCGAAAGCAUGGGGAGCGAACAGGAUUAGAUACCCUGGUAGUCCAUGCCGUAAACGUUGGGCACUAGGUGUGGGGUCCAUUCCACGGAUUCCGUGCCGCAGCAAACGCAUUAAGUGCCCCGCCUGGGGAGUACGGCCGCAAGGCUAAAACUCAAAGAAAUUGACGGGGGCCCGCACAAGCGGCGGAGCAUGCGGAUUAAUUCGAUGCAACGCGAAGAACCUUACCAAGGCUUGACAUACACCGGAAAAGUGCAGAGAUGUGCUCCCCGCAAGGUCGGUGUACAGGUGGUGCAUGGUUGUCGUCAGCUCGUGUCGUGAGAUGUUGGGUUAAGUCCCGCAACGAGCGCAACCCUCGUCCCAUGUUGCCAGCGGGUUAUGCCGGGGACUCAUGGGAGACUGCCGGGGUCAACUCGGAGGAAGGUGGGGAUGACGUCAAAUCAUCAUGCCCCUUAUGUCUUGGGCUUCACGCAUGCUACAAUGGCCGGUACAAAGGGCUGCGAUACCGCGAGGUGGAGCGAAUCCCAAAAAGCCGGUCUCAGUUCGGAUUGGGGUCUGCAACUCGACCCCAUGAAGUCGGAGUCGCUAGUAAUCGCAGAUCAGCAACGCUGCGGUGAAUACGUUCCCGGGCCUUGUACACACCGCCCGUCAAGUCAUGAAAGUCGGUAA
rnacentral:rRNA from 1 species